rnacentral:rRNA from 1 species
UCCCCUAGUAACUGCGAGUGAAGCGGGAAAAGCUCAAAUUUGAAAUCUGGCGGUCCUUGACUGUCCGAGUUGUAAUCUAGAGAAGUGUUACCUGUGCUGGACCAUGUACAAGUCUUCUGGAAUGGAGCAUCAUAGAGGGUGAGAAUCCCGUCUUUGACAUGGACUGCCGGUGCGUUGUGGUAUGCUCUCAAAGAGUCGAGUUGUUUGGGAAUGCAGCUCAAAAUGGGUGGUAAAUGCCAUCUAAAGCUAAAUAUUGGCGAGAGACCGAUAGCGAACAAGUACCGUGAGGGAAAGAUGAAAAGAACUUUGGAAAGAGAGUUAAACAGUACGUGAAAUUGCUGAAAGGGAAACGCUUGAAGUCAGUCACGUCGGCUAGGAAUCAGCCUUGCUUCUGCUUGGUGUACUUUCUGGUUGAUGGGUCAGCAUCAAUUUUGACCGCUGGAUAAAGUCUCUGGGAAUGUGGCAUUCUUUCUUGAAUGUGUUAUAGCCCUCUGUCGCAUGCAGCGGUUGGGAUUGAGGAACUCAGCACGCCCUGCAAGGGGCCAGGUUUCGACCAUGUUCGCGCUUAGGAUGCUGGCAUAAUGGCUUCAAUCGACCCGUCUUGAAACACGGACCAAGGAGUCUAACAUGCCUGCGAGUGUUUGGGUGGAAAACCCAUGCGCGCAAUGAAAGUGAAAGUU